rnacentral:rRNA from 1 species
UACGUAGGGUGCAAGCGUUAAUCGGAAUUACUGGGCGUAAAGCGUGCGCAGGCGGUUGUGCAAAACAGAUGUGAAAUCCCCGGGCUCAACCUGGGAAUGGCAUUUGUGACUGCACGGCUAGAGUGUGUCAGAGGGGGGUAGAAUUCCACGUGUAGCAGUGAAAUGCGUAGAGAUGUGGAGGAAUACCGAUGGCGAAGGCAGCCCCCUGGGAUAACACUGACGCUCAUGCACGAAAGCGUGGGGAGCAAACAGG